rnacentral:lncRNA from 1 species
AUGGGGCAGCCCUAUAGGGUGAUAUGGGGCUGGCCUAUAGGGCGAUAUGGGGCUGGCCCUAUAGGGCGCUAUGGGGCAGCCCUAGACAGAGAUGGAUCCCUGGCGGAAGUCGGAUUUGCUGAUAAGGGCGUUGAUAAGGACGGGCCGACCCCGCCCGCAUCGAUCCUGAGCGUCACGAAGAACCGCGGCCACUUGUGGGGCAGAGCGACCCACAACUGCAUCCACUUGUGGGGCAGAGCGACCCACAACCGCAUCCACUUGUGGGGCAGAGCGACCCACAACUGCAUCCACUUGUGGGGCAGAGCGACCCACAACCGCGUCCACUUGUGGGGCAGAGGGACCCACAACCGCAUCCACUUGUGGGGCAGAGCGACCCACAACCGCGUCCACUUGUGGGGCAGAGCGACCCACAACCGCAUCCACUUGUGGGGCAGAGCCACCCACAACCGCAUCCACUUGUGGGGCAGAGCGACCCACAACCGCAUCCACCAAAACCGUGAGCACCAGAGCCUCGGCUGCACUGUGGUAAUCUAUGGGGAGAGAGAAUGGGGUCAGAUGACAUAUAGGGUGACUAUAGGGCCAUAAAGGGGCUGAUCCUAUAGGGGACUAUAGGGCCAUAAAGGGGCUGAUCCUAUAGGGGACUAUAGGGCCAUAAAGGGGCUGAUCCUAUAGGGGACUAUAUGGCCAU